rnacentral:rRNA from 1 species
UACGGAGAGUGCAAGCAUUAAUCGGAAUUAUUGGGCGUAAAGGGCGCGUAGGCGGAAAGAUAAGUCAGAUGUGAAAUACCAAAGCUCAACUUUGGUGCUGCAUUUGAAACUAUCAUUCUAGAGGGUUGACGGAGAAAACGGAAUUCCACGUGUAGCGGUGAAAUGCGUAGAUAUGUGGAAGAACACCAGUGGCGAAAGCGGUUUUCUAGUUAAUACCUGACGCUGAGGCGCGAGAGCAAGGGGAGCAAACAGG